UACGUAGGGAGCAAGCGUUGUCCGGAAUCAUUGGGCGUAAAGCGCGCGUAGGUGGCUCCAUAAGUCCGUUGUGAAAGUCAAAGGCUCAACCUUUGAAUGCCGAUGGAUACUGUCGGGCUAGAGUCCGGAAGAGGCGAGUGGAAUUCCUGGUGUAGCGGUGGAAUGCGCAGAUAUCAGGAGGAACACCAAUAGCGAAGGCAGCUCGCUGGGACGGUACUGACGCUAAGGCGCGAAAGCGUGGGGAGCGAACAGG
rnacentral:rRNA from 1 species